UACGUAGGGUGCGAGCGUUAAUCGGAAUUACUGGGCGUAAAGCGUGCGCAGGCGGUUUUGUAAGCCAGAUGUGAAAACCCCGGGCUCAACCUGGGAAUGGCAUUUGGGACUGCAAGGCUGGAGUUUGGCAGAGGAGACUGGAAUUCCUGGUGUAGCAGUGAAAUGCGUAGAUAUCAGGAGGAAUACCGAUGGCGAAGGCGGGUCUCUGGGCUAUAACUGACGCUCAUGCACGAAAGCGUGGGGAGCAAACAGG
rnacentral:rRNA from 1 species